GAUGAACGCUGGCGGCGUGCCUAAUACAUGCAAGUCGAGCGAACGGAUGAGAAGCUUGCUUCUCUGAUGUUAGCGGCGGACGGGUGAGUAACACGUGGAUAACCUACCUAUAAGACUGGGAUAACUUCGGGAAACCGGAGCUAAUACCGGAUAAUAUUUUGAACCGCAUUGUUCAAAAGUGAAAGACGGUCUUUCUGUCACUUAUAGAUGGAUCCGCGCUGCAUUAGCUAGUUGGUAAGGUAACGGCUUACCAAGGCAACGAUGCAUAGCCGACCUGAGAGGGUGAUCGGCCACACUGGAACUGAGACACGGUCCAGACUCCUACGGGAGGCAGCAGUAGGGAAUCUUCCGCAAUGGGCGAAAGCCUGAAGGAGCAACGCCGCGUGAGUGAUGAAGGUCUUCGGAUCGUAAAACUCUGUUAUUAGGGAAGAACAUAUGUGUAAGUAACUGUGCACAUCUUGACGGUACCUAAUCAGAAAGCAACGGCUAACUACGUG
rnacentral:rRNA from 1 species